AUGAAGAUUCUGGGAGAUGUAGUCCCAAAAACUAACAUUUCCACACACCGCUUGUUCCAAAUCCAAUUGCAUUACCACAAUGCUCCCAGCUUGGACACUUACCAACCCUCACCCUUGCCACAGACACUCCGGCUGAAGGUGCUCGACCCCGGCCUUCUUGGCACAGAGAAGAUUCGAACUCCUGGUUAUACCAGCUGUACCACCCCCAGCCUCACCCCCAAUUACUGCUCCUGCUAUUUCGAUGGGCAACGAAUCAACCCCCAGCGGGCGACUGGCGAUCUCUUUCGGUCAAGAGAUGGCAAAGAGAUCCAGUCAGAAAUAAUGAUGUUGGUCAGCCAAGCUUAUCUCCUCUCUGGAGGCCAUCUGACUUUGCCAUUAAGAAUAAAAGUGCAUCGUUUGCCUGAUCAUGGACAAUUUGGACAAGUUACAUUUGGAAAAGUGGCACGCUCACUCCCGGCCUCGAAGUUCUAGUCGCGAGAGCCUGGUUUCGGUAAAGUCUGAUAAGUGCACGUAAAGGAUUAAGUUCAAAAAGGAAGAGAGAGAAAA
rnacentral:lncRNA from 1 species